rnacentral:rRNA from 1 species
AUGGAAGGGGCUGGUGAGAGGGAUGAGAUUGGACACGAACCUCACCAUGGAGGUGCAGUGCAGAGUGGUGGCAAGCACAAGGACAGCACUACCGGUGACGAAAAAGAUGGGGAAUUUCAGGUGCAGCCAAGAUGGAGGAAGUUCUUGGCUCAUGUUGGGUCUGGAGCUCUUGUGGCCAUUGGCUUCUUGGAUCCUAGCAACUCUUCUGUGGGUCGUCUUAGUUGGGAUGAUCUUUGUGCUCUUUAUACAAACAUUAUCCGCCAACCUUGGAGUGAAAACCGGUACCUUUCGCUCAACAAUCUGUCAUGGUUUCUGCAUAUCAAAUCUGCACUUAUCGCUCAAUCCUGUACAGGGAGGCAUCUUGCUGAACUCUGCAGGGAAGAGUAUCCCCCCUUCGUCAAUAUUUGCUUAUGGAUCAUUGCAGAGCUUGCAGUAAUUUCUGAUGAUAUCCCUGAAGUGUUAGGUACCGCCUUUGCAUUCAACAUAUUGUUCAAAAUUCCUGUGUGGGCUGGAGUUAUCCUCACGGUGUUCAGCACCCUCUUGCUUCUUGGGGUGCAGAGAUUUGGUGCCCGGAAACUGGAGUUCAUCAUAGCAGCGUUCAUGUUCACCAUGGCAGGCUGCUUCUUCGGAGAAUUGAGCUACCUUAGUCCAUCUGCUAGAGAUGUGACCAAGGGCAUGUUUGUCCCCUCUCUGCGAGGGAAAGGUGCUGCUGCCAAUGCGAUGGCGCUCUUUGGCGCUAUCAUCCACCGUACAACUUGUUCUUGCACUCUGCCCUGGUCCUCUCAUGGAAGACCCCACGGUCAGACAAAAGCAUCAGAGCGGCCUGCAGAUACGUCCUCAUAG